CAACCUCCACAGGCUGGGUGGCCCGGAGGCUGGGCUGGGCGAGUAUCUCUCUUCGAAAGGCUCACUCUCAAGCACGACUAAGAGC
rnacentral:pre_miRNA from 2 species